rnacentral:rRNA from 1 species
UCGGCGGAAGGGUGAGUAAGGCGACGGUAAUCAACCCCAUGGUUGGGUAUAGCCGCGGGAAACUGCGGGUAAUCCCCAGCGACGUCCGGAUCGGGCAUCCGAAUCGGACCAAAGUCCUGGCGCCGUGGGACGAGCCGUCGUGGUAUUAGGUCGUUGGCGGGGUAAUGGCCCACCAAGCCUAUGAUGCCUACCGGGCGUGCGAGCGUGGCCCGGCACACUGGGACUGAGACACUGCCCAGACUCCUACGGGAGGCUGCAGUCGAGAAUCUUCGGCAAUGGGCGCAAGCCUGACCGAGCGACGCCGCGUGGAGGAUGAAGGCCUUCGGGUUGUAAACUCCUGUCGAGGGGGAAGAAGGUCGGGUAACCGGCUUGACCGAUCCCUGCAGGAAGCACGGGCUAAGUUCGUG